rnacentral:lncRNA from 1 species
CAAGAUGGGCUGAUUUAUUUGCACUUAAAAAUACAGUUUCUAAGAUGAUAUUUGUUUUCAAAAAUGUCUUAAUGUUAAAUAUAGGCUACAGGAAUUGAUGUCUUCAUGUUGAAAAUUUAUAUCUCACAUCAGCAUGAGCUUACACAUCAUAGAUGAUAACAUUACACAAAAUCAGCAAAUGAACACCCAUUUUGGAACACAGUUUUGAUAUUAAAAACAUCAGAAGUUCAGUUUUCUUCUUUCUUCUUGACUUAUACUGAUAAAAUGCUUUUAAACCUACAAGCCAUUUCACUUUCUAAUGCCAGAUCCAAUGCCUACUUGAUCAGCAGAUGGAUGCUACUAAACACAUUCCUCUUGCCUAGAAGUCACACCUUCCAUUUCUAAACAUAUUUUGCUCUGUAAAACUGUGACCACAGGGAAUGGGGAAGACAGGAUUUAAGUUCAAAUGUAAUGAGAAGAGAAAAAGUGAGGUAAAAUGCUGAAAAUGUUUACUAAUAAAACAUUACAUUUUAAGGUACGUACAGGUAGGUUUGAUGAUUCAACAGGAAACCAACAGUGAUUUGCAAAAACGCUAUGGCCUGUAAUUAAAAUCCCCCUACAUGUCAAGGUAACAUGAAGGUUUUUUAGGUGACCAGAUCUCUAGACAGAUUUGUUUGUGCAUUUUAAGUCAAAGCAAAAUUUUCCAAGUGAAGUACCUACAAAAUAAAUUUGCUUUGGAAAUAAGCCUCAGUAAUAAAAUAAUACCUCUCACUUAU